UUUAUUCAAAUUUGUAUGGAGUUGGAACUUUUGCCUGCGUUUGCCGCUAGGGGCGCUGUUCCAACUUCAUACAAAUUGGUGUUA
rfam:Bombyx mori DNA, contig: Bm_scaf36_contig21727, strain: p50T/Dazao, build 2, whole genome shotgun sequence.